rnacentral:lncRNA from 1 species
UUAUUCUUUUUAAUCUUCACUUUUCUUCCAUCAGGUGGUGCCAUUAUCCUGAAUAUGCGGAUGAUGAAACUUGGCAUUUGGUGGGUCUUCAGAGUCAACCAGACCUUUAUGAAUGAUCUUCUCAUGUCCUGUGCCUUCAACAGCUCCCUGCCCCAUUUUCAUUGUUUUAAUUUCUAUUCAUUUGUAUGCUAUUUUAUGGUUAUUCAACUAUUUUAUGAGUAAUGCUGGACAUUCCUGCAAAGUCCUGGAAAGCAAGAUUGAUGUAUCCCAUUUCCUG